rnacentral:rRNA from 1 species
GACAGAGGGUGCAAACGUUGUUCGGAAUUACUGGGCGUAAAGCGUGUGUAGGUGGCUGCGUAAGUCGGAUGUGAAAGCCCUGGGCUCAACUCAGGAAGUGCACUCGAUACUGCGUAGCUCGAGUACCGGAGAGGUUGGUAGAAUUCUCGGUGUAGAGGUGAAAUUCGUAGAUAUCGGGAGGAACACCAGAUGCGAAGGCGGUUCUCUGGAAAUUAUCUGACGCUGAGAAGCGAAAGCGUGGGGAGCAAACAGG